rnacentral:rRNA from 1 species
UACGUAGGGUGCAAGCGUUGUCCGGAAUUAUUGGGCGUAAAGAGCUCGUAGGCGGUUUGUCGCGUCUGCUGUGAAAACCCGAGGCUCAACCUCGGGCCUGCAGUGGGUACGGGCAGGCUAGAGGUAGGUAGGGGAGAAUGGAAUUCCCGGUGUAGCGGUGAAAUGCGCAGAUAUCAGGAGGAACACCGGUGGCGAAGGCGGUGGUCUGGGCCGGAACUGACGCUGAGGAGCGAAAGCGUGGGGAGCGAACAGG